UCCACCUUGGUGCAAAUCCAAGUGAAAGUA
rnacentral:tRNA from 11 species